CGAAGGGAGCUAGCGUUGUUCGGAAUCACUGGGCGUAAAGCGCGCGUAGGCGGCUUUGCAAGUCAGGGGUGAAAUCCCACAGCUUAACUGUGGAACUGCCUUUGAAACUGCAAGGCUGGAAUGUGAGAUGGGAUGGCGGAAUUCCUAAUGUAGAGGUGAAAUUCGUAGAUAUUAGGAGGAACACCGGUGGCGAAAGCGGCCAUCUGGAUCACAAUUGACGCUGAAGUGCGAAAGCGUGGGUAGCAAACAGGAUUAGAUACCCUGGUAGUCCACGCCAUAAACGAUGAGUGCUAGCUGUCGGGCCCGUAGGGUUCGGUAGCGCCGCUAACGCAUUAAGCACUCCGCCUGGGGGAGUACGGUCGCAAGAUUA
rnacentral:rRNA from 1 species